rnacentral:rRNA from 1 species
UACGUAGGAGGCAAGCGUUGUCCGGAGUUACUGGGCGUAAAGCGUACGCAGGCGGUCCAAUCAGUCUAUCGGGACAGGGCACAGCUUAACUGUGUCAGGCUUAUGGAAACUGUUGGACUUGAGGGCUUCAGAGGGAUGGGGAAUUCCGGGUGGAGUGGUGAAAUGCGUAGAGAUCCGGAAGAACACCAAAGGCGUAGGCACCAUCCUGGGGAGUCACUGACGCUCAUGUACGAAAGCUAGGGGAGCGAACGGG